rnacentral:hammerhead_ribozyme from 1 species
AUCUAGCUGACGAGUCCUGAACGGGACGAAACGUGCGCCCUUUAU